UACGGGGGGGGCAAGCGUUGUUCGGAAUUACUGGGCGUAAAGGGCGCGUAGGCGCCUUCUAAGUCAGACGUGAAAUCCCUCGGCUCAACCGAGGAACUGCGUCUGAUACUGGAAGGCUUGAAUCCGGGAGAGGGAUGUGGAAUUCCAGGUGUAGCGGUGAAAUGCGUAGAUAUCUGGAGGAACACCGGUGGCGAAGGCGGCCAAUCUGGGA
rnacentral:rRNA from 1 species